rnacentral:rRNA from 1 species
GAUGAACGCUGGCGGCGUGCCUAAUACAUGCAAGUCGAGCGAACAGAUAAGGAGCUUGCUCCUUUGAAGUUAGCGGCGGACGGGUGAGUAACACGUGGGUAACCUACCUAUAAGACUGGGAUAACUUCGGGAAACCGGAGCUAAUACCGGAUAACAUUUAGAACCGCAUGGUUCUAAAGUGAAAGAUGGUUUUGCUAUCACUUAUAGAUGGACCCGCGCCGUAUUAGCUAGUUGGUAAGGUAACGGCUUACCAAGGCAACGAUACGUAGCCGACCUGAGAGGGUGAUCGGCCACACUGGAACUGAGACACGGUCCAGACUCCUACGGGAGGCAGCAGUAGGGAAUCUUCCGCAAUGGGCGAAAGCCUGACGGAGCAACGCCGCGUGAGUGAUGAAGGGUUUCGGCUCGUAAAACUCUGUUAUUAGGGAAGAACAAAUGUGUAAGUAACUGUGCACAUCUUGACGGUACCUAAUCAGAAAGCCACGGCUAACUACGUG